UUCAACAAAAUAUUUAUCUCCGUGUACCGGCUUAUGGAGCUUUAAGACCCUUUUGCAACCUACGCGCCAUCUCGAAUAAUGGCUGAGACAUCUGAAGCUUUUUUGUUAAAGCUUAGUUAGAUUGUGCCGUGAGUUUCUCCACGUAUGACCACUCAGCUGACCACCGAGAGAAUUAAAAAAGAGCAAAUUGAACUGGACACCCAAAUAUUUUUAAGGAACUUCUACCUAAUUGUAUAGGAUAUAUACUAUGCCGUGGUAGAAUGAGAUUCCGAUUUCUAGACAGUUAUUAUACAAGGCAGAAUGAGAUGGGGUGUUACCAAUUGCGUUCUCUUAAAAAUAGGUGCGCAGAAUUUGGGGGUUUUUAAAAACUAAAUUUCCAUCAUAAGUUUAUUCUCGUGCGAUUCGUUGACAAUUCUUAAUCGGUGUGCUUAAAAAGAUUCCAAACAAUUAUUCCAACAAAAGUUAUACUUCGUUGAAGUGCUAUAAGAAAAUUAUUGCUAGUUGAGCAAUUGAAAAUUGUAAUUAAAUAUACAAAGAUUGUAGUGCAGAUUGAGUGCAAUUGUUAAGGAAGCCAUUUUGAAAAUCGCUUUGCAUUUACUAAUUAUAAUUUGCGAUAAAUUAUAAGGUUAUUCCCGCUGGUCUCCACGGGUGCUAGUGCUGGUUCCGAAUUUGACAAAGAUCUGCGGUUCGAUAAACCACCCUGUGCGCAGACACCCCGCAAAUUGCACAUCCCUAUUUCUCUGUGGACGCUCACGCAAGCUUUCCCUUUGCCACGCGACAUCGGCCAAGGCUCCCUCGCAACAUAACUUUGAGCAUUCCGACUGGUUGCACAAUUGUCUGAUGACGUCAUCAUAACAUCGCACGUCUAAUCGCGCGCAAAGUGGAUCACGGUUAUGUUUGCCCCUGUUAGUUAGGCAACCCCAACAUACACAUCUUGGUAAACUAGAGCGUAGUGAGAAAACGGACCCUUCUCGACAACAGAGGUCCGGAGUAGAAAGGUGCGCGGUUCGGUGGACGACAAUUGCAACUGCACAGCCGCAUGCGCAUGCGAAGCAAGGCCACGUGGCAGCAGCUCAUCGGUGGAUUCGCGGAACCCAGGAGUUAUAGCCGGAAUAUUCAACGUGACUUCGUGAAAUUUGCAGAUGGAAAAAGGUCAGAGAUUUUUAUUGUACAUAUUAUUAGCAUUAAGUAUCUAUAAUCUAGUGUAGGAAUCCAAACCAAAUAGUGGUGACGUCACCUUCAAGUGAGAUAGGCCUCUGUAUUGAAUAUUGGAACCAAUAAACAGGACUUGAAAAUCUAGGCCGCCACCAAUUAGAGGGUUAACGAAUUAUGCGGUUUGAAUUGAAAUUGGUAUAAUUAGAAAUAAGUCUCAUUCAGCCUUAUCCUUUUGAUAGUUUGUAUUAUUAUUAUUCUUUUUUCCUAAAUAAGUCGGUUCAGUUUGGUGUUGUUUGAAGCCUACUUUGUGGUUCGCUAAGUGUGAUUGGGUGUUUGAGGAUAUUCAACCCGCCCUAGAAAAAGAGCCUCUGCCGGGCCAUUAACAGCCUCAGCA